rnacentral:pre_miRNA from 1 species
AGUGGAACUGCUGGGUCAGAUGGUAAGCUUAUGUUUAGCUUUUUAAGAGACUGUCAGACUGUUUCCCAAAGUGGCUGUACCAUUUUACCUUCCCAUCAGCAAGU